GGUUGUAACUGAUAGACUGGGUUGGGCACUGCUGAUGAAACUCACAUUCCUGAGAGAAAAAUCAUCCAAAUGUCUUCCCCAGCUUUCUAGAAGUCACUAUGAGGGGCCCCGACUAACUGAGGAGACUCAUACAGAAACCCCUGUCCCCAUCACAGCUACCUCAUUACCGUGUUCCUCCAAGAUGGUCACCUCUGAGGAGGAUUAUCAGAGAAGAAAGGAAACCAAAGGCCCAUCAACAACAAAUUGAAAAUUGAAGUUGAAAGGCAAAUCUAAAGAUUUGGAAAACCUCCCAACUACAUUCUCCUGUGAUCACCCAGCCUGAGGGGUGUGCCCUUAUGAGGUCAAGGCUUUCAGAGUUAGCAUUUCAGUGGUGAAUACAGAAGAAAAAUCAGUGCAGAUCAAGUAACAUGGAAAGAAAAAGAGAGACAGCACUAGAUACAGAAGCAGACAACAGGAAGAGAAAGCUCAAACCUUGGCCAAAACCAC